rnacentral:rRNA from 1 species
UACGUAAAAGACUAGUGUUAGUCAUCUUUAUUAGGUUUAAAGGGUACCUAGACGGUAAAUUAAACCUUCAUAAGGUACUUUUUUACUAGAGUUUUAUAAGAGAAAGGGAGAACUUUUGGAGUAGAGAUAAAAUUUUAUGAUACUAAAAGGACUGAUAAAGGCGAAGGCUGCUUUCUAUGUAAAAACUGACGUUGAGGGACGAAGGCUUGGGUAGCAAUAAGG